rnacentral:misc_RNA from 1 species
GAUGAAGAACGCAGCGAAAUGCGAUAAGUAAUGUGAAUUACAGAAUUCAGUGAAUCAUCGAAUCUUUGAACGCACAUUGCGCCCGCCAGUAUUCUGGCGGGCAUGCCUGUCUGAGCGUCAUUUCAACCCUCAUGCCCCUAGGGCGUGGUGUUGGGGAUCGGCCAAAGCCCGCGAGGGACGGCCGGCCCCUAAAUCUAGUGGCGGACCCGUCGUGGCCUCCUCUGCGAAGUAGUGAUAUUCCGCAUCGGAGAGCGAUGAGCCCCUGCCGUUAAACCCCCAACUUUCCAAGGUUGACCUCAGAUCAGGUAGGAAUACCCGCUGAACUUAAGCAUAUCAAUAAGCGGAGGA